rnacentral:rRNA from 1 species
ACCAGCCGCCAUAUCACCCUGUAGCCCAAGACUGGUUGCCCACUGAAGCUAAGCAGGGUUGAGCCUGGUCAGUACCUGGAUGGGAGACCUCCUGGGAAAACUAGGUUGCUGCUGGAA